rnacentral:rRNA from 1 species
UACGUAGGGUGCAAGCGUUAAUCGGAAUUACUGGGCGUAAAGCGUGCGCAGGCGGUGCUGUAAGUCAGGUGUGAAAUCCCCGGGCUUAACCUGGGAACUGCAUUUGUGACUGCAUCGCUGGAGUGCGGCAGAGGGGGAUGGAAUUCCGCGUGUAGCAGUGAAAUGCGUAGAUGUGCGGAGGAACACCGAUGGCGAAGGCAAUCCCCUGGGCCUGCACUGACGCUCAUGCACGAAAGCGUGGGGAGCAAACGGG